UACGUAGGGGGCUAGCGUUGUCCGGAAUCAUUGGGCGUAAAGCGCGCGUAGGCGGCCCGGUAAGUCCGCUGUAAAAGUCAAAGGCUCAACCUUUGAAUGUCAGUGGAUACUGCCGGGCUAGAGUCCGGAAGAGGCGAGUGGAACUCCUGGUGUAGCGGUGGAAUGCGCAGAUAUCAGGAAGAACACCGACGGCGAAGGCAGCUCGCUGGGACGGUACUGACGCUGAUGCGCGAAAGCUAGGGGAGCAAACAGG
rnacentral:rRNA from 1 species